UACACACAUUAGCAUAUCUAUUGGUAUAAUCCUUGUUCCGGUAGAACUAUUCUUAACAACAUUUGCUAAAUUGGCGGAAGAAAUUAUUCAAUAAAAGUGGUUAUCUAGCAGGUACAGGAUGUGAAAUCAAUCAGAAGGCUGCCACUUGAAAUCUUCACGAUUCUUGAUCUUAUAAUAUUGAUACAUUUGGAUGUAUCAAUGAUAGAAUAUUGCUCACAAGAAAGUAAGAGAGUAACCAUUGAUGAAUCACAAGAUAAAGAAAGAAAAUAGCAUGGAAAUUCAGAAAAGGAUGAGCCCAGGAGAGCUGCCCUUUAUAUUGAGGGCUCAACGGAACUCACUGUCAGCUGGAUCUGGAAUUAGAAGACCUGGGUUAGGACCUGGUAUGGCUCUGGCCCUGAACACAUUUAUUCUGAAAAGACCUCUCACUGUUUGCCCUCAGAUCUAUUUAUUGCCCUCUCUGUUUCACAGUAGAAUGCGUAUGUUGGUAGUGUGGAGGUGGAGUUAGGGGAGAAGUCUCAUUUCUUUGUGAUUCUGUUGAUUUGUUCGCUCUCCACCCAACUCAUAUGCUGAAAUUCUAACCCCUGUUGGUGACAAUAUUUGGAAACAGCGUCUUUUGGAAGAUUAAUGAGGUCAGAAAAGUAGGGGCUGUUUCAGCAACUUUUGUUAUUGCUGUGAACAAAUACUUGACCAGAAGCAACUCAAAGGAGGAAGGGUUUGUUUGGACCAUGGUUUGUGGGGUUGGGGUGUGGGAGGCUGUGGAAGCUGUGGAGCAGCUUCAAGCUGCGGCUUCAGGAGCAGGAGGCGGCUUACUCACUUCCGGGCUUAUCGCCAUGAAAUUGAGGCAACAGGAAACGAGGCCACUCUAUAAAAUCUUAGACUCUCUCGCCCAGUGACCCACUUCCUCUCUCUAGUCUCCACUUCCCAAAGAUCCCACAGUCUCCUAAAAUAGUGACAGCAGCUGAGAAUCAAAGGAUGAAACGCUCGAGCCUUUUCACACUAAAACUUUGAUGGAUCCCUAAUCUGACGGGGCCAUGGUUUUAUAAAAAGAAAAAAAAAGACGUGUAUAGGUCUCUUUUGAACACACAAAGAUACAGCAAGAAGACAGCUGUCUCCAAGCUAGAAAGAGCCGGCACACUGACCUUCAACUUCACAGCCCCUGAAACUACCAGAAGAGGGUGUUAGAUCCCCUGGGACUGGAGUGACAGACAGACGAGAGCUGCCCUAUGGUUGCAGGGAACUGAACCUGGAUCCUCUGGAAGAGCCACCAGCACUCUUAACCACUGAACCAUCCUUUCCUGUCCCAGGAGGCUCUUCCUGGGUUUCUGCUCCCUGCACUGCAGCCUGGAGAUCAUCCGCAGAGCACGCUGUUGGAAGGAUGAGCACUCAUCCACAGAAGUAGCCAGAGCAGCCUUGCUAGAGGAACGCCCACCCUCUGUCCACAACAGUCUGCUCAUAGGCCUGCUGAGUAAACACAAGGUGGCUGCAGAAAGGUUGGAUUGAUAGCCUAGAACAGUUUACUCAUCCUGCAGACUUCUAAUAGCCUUGUCUGUAAUUACUGACUUCUGCUUAGUACUGAUAAUGGAAAUAAAUAACUUUACCCUCUGA